rnacentral:lncRNA from 10 species
CCCGAGUAGCUGGAACUACAGGCGCCCGCCAUGAUGCCCGGCUCAUUUUCUGUGUUUUCAGUAGAGACGGGGUUUCACUGUGUUAGCCAGGAAAGUCUUGAUCUCCUGACCUCGUGAUCCUGACCUCGGCCUCCCAAAGUGCUGGGAUUACAGGCGCGAGCCACCGCGCCCGACAGCAGUUAUGAAGUUCUAAAAGCAAGUCUUAAUCAGGAAGUGUCCUUGAUCACCAACGGCUCGCCCAGGCAUGCUGGCUCUCUUCCACUUCCACCUUCCACCAUGGGAUGACGCAGUAAGAAGGCCAUCAGUAGAUGCCAGUCCCUCAACCUUGAACUUUCCAGACGCAGAACGAGUGCACUCCUUGGAAGGAAGUCACUAUAGAUAUCCCACGCAUGUGGAGAGGGGAGCUAUGAUCCACCUCAUGAAGGGCAAGUUAUGCCUCCAUUUUCCUCUGCUGCAUGGCCCCAGGAGAGAUUUUAAUUAGCUUUCUAACCUUGGUCCAGAUUGCACAUGCAAAUGGUAGAGGAUGCAACACCCCCGCUUGUGGAGCUGCCGCUUGUGUCUGGCAUGGUUAAAAACACCUUGAUAAUCCGUGAGGACAGAAAGCAAGAGCUGAAGAGAACAAAGUACGAAAACAGUGAAAAUUUUAAAGAUUUAGAUGUGUGGAAGCAGAUAGACACAUAAGGAAGUAUUCUGUAGCAACUCACAGUCAUCGGUGGAAAUUUUGAACUAGUAGAGGAUACAGAAUCAGAUUCUUGCCAAAUGUAUUCAGUUAUAUGAGGAAUAGAGAGUUGAUGUCUGCGUUACAUAAACAAUUUUCCUGUAACAGUCUCACUUGGGAAUGGAGUAUACCAAUGAUGUUAUUGUAGACUUGGAAGUGGCAACAAAUUAAAUUGAUCAUUUUAAAUAAUUAAUGUAAUGUGAAUACUAUAAAAUUUACAGAAAUUGGAUAGUCAGUAUGUGAAUUAAAAUGUUAAUGUUAGGUGAAUAUUAUAAAAUGUACAGAAAUUGGAUUGUCGGUAUGUGAAUUAAAAUGUUAACAGUGCAUUUGGGUGGAAAUCUUGCUCUGGAUGCCCCUUCUAGAUGUUCAUGGCUCACUCCCUGCCAUGUUGUCAGGUAUUUGAGCUCUCUGUUCCCACUCAGAGUAGAUGAGCAGAAGAGGAAAUGAGGGCCUUCCCAGAGCAACUCCCCCAGAUGAACAGAGCCAGGCUGCCUGGAUUCAAUGUUAUCUUCAUUUCUUAGCUGUAUCAUCACGAGUUGUUUAAUUCCUCAGCACUUAAUUUUCUUGACCUGCAAAAAUAUGGAUCAUAAUGAUCAUUAACUAAUAAGUUUGCCAUGAGGAUUAACUGUAUAUUAAGGGCUGAUAAAAUUAUAUGUUACAAGCACAGUGAGCCCUUGGAAUCGCUUCUUUCCUGAAAGGCUUUGCACAAAAUUGAUGAAGGAGGAUAUUUGCUGAUUAACAUGUUUACUCCCAGAGACUAAGCUGAGGAAAUGCUUUUAUAGGCAAGGAAGCUUUGAUUUGCAACUUAGGGAUGCCAGUAUGAGAAUGAAAAUUCACAAGAAGAGAGGAAAUACUGAGGAGAAAAUGGCAGAUUGUGUUUGCUGAAUUUGAUUGACGAAGAAGUCACCAUGAAAAUCACAGUGAACCAUUUGGAAAGCAAACUGCCAAAAAAUAAUAGUUAGUCAUGCUCUCAGGCUCUCUUACAUUUGUCUCUGUGAUUCAUUUUUCAGUUAAUUCUUGUGCAUGGUGUGAGGUUGUUUUGGCUGUUGUGGGUUUCUUGCAUUUCCAGAUGAUUGCAAAGAGCUGUUUCUCAAUUUCUGCAACAAGUGCCAGCUGAAAUUUUGGUACCAGUUUCAUUAAAUAUGUAGAACAAUUUGAGCCUGAGUGAGUUCUGUGGAGCCCAUACUACCUGCGAUUCAAGCCAGCAACCUUGGAAUCUCCCUGAACAAUUUCUAUGGUGUCCAAUCACAUUUGCAAUCACUCCCCACACUCAGUAGGUUCUGCCCCCACAUCAUUUCUUUUCUCUAUCCUCUUUCCCAGCUUUAUAAUAUGACUUAGUUCAAGCCCUAAUCACUGGAUUAUUCAAAGUCCCUUAACAGGUUAAUUCCUACUGUGAUCAACACUUUAAAGGAAGGCAAUAGGGCCAGGCAUGGUGGCUCACGGCUGUAAUCCCAGCACUUUGGGAGGCUGAGGCGAGUGGAUCACAAGGUCGGGAGUUUGAGACCAGCCUGACUAACACAGUGAAACCCCGACUCUACUAAAAAUACAAAAAAUUAGCCAGGUGUGGUCGUGGGUACCUGUAGUCCCAGCUACUAGGGAGGCUGAGGCAGGAGAAUGGCGUGAACCCGAGAGGCGGAGCUUGCAGUGAGCCAAGAUUACGCCACUGCACUCCAGCCUGGGUGACGGAGCGAGACUCCAUCUCAAAAAAAAUAAAAAAUAAAUAAAACAGAAAGGCAAUGGCUAUCCCAAAUUGCUGAAGCCUUUGCUAAAAGCACAGACAGAAAACAACAAUAUGGUGAUGUUUGUGUUAAACAAAUGUUAUUGAUUCUAGGACACAGGUCAGAUGGCAAAUAGUCAAACUCAAAUGUUGAUCCCAGGGGUGGCUGUAUCAUCACUAAGGCCAAAUCACAACUUUGACUGGUCUCAUGGGAACACAGAUCUUGGGUUUGGAAAGAGCACAGGCCUGGCCAUGGGAAUGGACACAGGGUAAUUUUAAGAUGACUAGAGGUUCCUCAAACCCUAAAAGUACCACUGAACCUUGUUUAAAGCUAAAAUGGCUCCUAAAUGAUAGACACGUUUCUCAGUUAUCUCUGCAAACUGAAGAUCCUAUCAGCCUGUUCAGGGUCUCACAGGCCUCUGGGUUUGUACAUGAUGUCCCUACAGUGGCGAUGGGGACUGAUGAGAGCCACCGUUCCCAUUGGAGGAGGGCAAGCUGCCACUGAGUGUCAGCUGCUGGAGUAAACAUCCAAUCACAUGUGUACCUGUAUCCUAUGGAUAUUGGCUUCCCCUCAUACAACUUGUUGUUCCUUUGUUUUCCAUUCCUGACUAUAUUUGAAUCUUUCUUGGAUUUCCAGGAAACAUCUGACUGCUUUCCUAUGCCACUUCAUACCCAAGAGAAGCUCAGGGAGAUCCUUUAAGGUCCUUUAUGCCCAUUAUGAUAGUACAUGAAUAGGUAAAUGUACCACUGCUCCCUGUACUUCUUGGAUAAUGCACAAAUAGUAAGACAGUCUCGCAACCAGCAGCCUAGACAGCCCAAAUAUGUGAAACCAAAACAGCUUGAUCUUCCAGACCUGUUCUGACUCCUUGAGUCUUAAAUCUCCAAGCCUCUUGAAUGUUUCACCCACAGCCUUCCCUUUGGGAUCUGGCAUGGGACAGGAAGGGCAGAGAAGGGCCUGGGGCUUUUCCUCAGGGAUCCACCACAGUCUAGGCCAGUGGGUGGCAAACUUUUUCUGCAAAGGAUCAGCUGGGAGAUAGUUUCAACUUUGUAGUCUCGUCGCAGCUACUCUACUCGACUCUGCCACUGGAGUGUGAAUGCAGUCAUGAAUAAAAGAAUGAAAGUUUUCCAGUGAAACUUUAGUCACAAAAACAGUCUGCAGGCUGUGUCUGGCCCGUGGGCUUUGGUUUGCUGGCCUGCGGGCUCCUAGAAGGCUCUGACUUUAUCCCUCUAUGAGGGAAAGCAGGUUUUGGGGUAUUCUCCCAAAUCUUUAUACCUUAUGUCUGUGUCUCUUUUUAAAUUAAAAGUAAAAUUUAGGCGGACUGUGUAUUUUUGGCUGCUCUCCAAGCCCUUGAGGAAAACACUUGGAGUCAAUCUCAUCCUUUUGAUGCAGUGCUGAGUAAUGAGGUAUUUCCCUGUCUAGAGAUUUUAGAAGAUGGAAAAAAGAAAAAUACAUUGCACUCUGAAACAUUCUACAUAAAAAUGGAAUGUGUGGUCAUUAGAUUAACUCAGGCUUUGGACCUCGGGGCAUAAAACCCAUUUCCUCUUACACCAGUCUCUGAAGCUUAAAGGAUUCGUUAUUUCCAGUUGCAAAUGCCAUCAGAAAAGGAUUGUUUUUCUUUCUAGUACCACCAAGAAUGUAGUUUACCAUUGUGAAUAAACUGUCUUAAGCUUUCCCCGAAUAAAAUAAAUACAAAUGCUCCU